rnacentral:rRNA from 1 species
UGUCUAAAACAUAGAGUUAAUGCAUUGGAUCCCAUUAGAACUUCGCAGUUAAGUGCGCUUAGGAUAGAGUAUUACUACAAUGGGUGACUCCCUGGGAAGUCUUAGGGUUUUACAUGC